GAGAAGAACGCAGCGAAAUGCGAUACUUGGUGUGAAUUGCAGAAUCCCGUGAACCAUCGAGUCUUUGAACGCAAGUUGCGCCUCAAGCCAUUAGGUUGAGGGCACGUCUGCCUGGGCGUCACAUAUCGUUGCCUGAUGCCAGUUUCCUCGUGAUGGGUGACUGUGCAGGGCGAAUGAUGGCUUCCCGUGAGCAUUGUUGCCUCAUGGUUGGUUGAAAAUUGAGUCCUUGGUAGGGAGCGCCGUGAUAGAUGGUGGUUGAGUGACGAACGAGACCCAAUCAUGUGAGACCCCUACCGAAUUUGGCCUUCAUGACCCACAUGCGUCUUUGGAACGCUCAUGACGAGACCUCAGGUCAGGCGGGGCUACCCGCUGAGUUUAAGCAUAUCAAUAAGCGGAGGA
rnacentral:misc_RNA from 1 species